AUGGUAUGGUGCAGGCUGUGCCCUGCAGAAGGGCACCCAGCCACAGAGAAGAGUGAGGGCUGAAAUCUGGCGAUGAGCAGGAUAUUGCGUGCUCAAGAGAAGGGGUGCCUUUCCCUAAAUUGCAAAAGCAGGGGCAUCUCAGAGAUCAUCUCAAGUAAUGGAGCCUGACUUCUGUGAUGAGUGAAAGAAUCCAGGUUGGUGAACAGAUGGCCAUCGAAUGACCAAACAGAGGCCUGGGACCUGGGAGAAGUAUGAAGCAAGAGGAGCCUGAAGGCAGUGGGGGAGGAUUCAGAACAGCCUUGGUGCCCCAGGCCAACACAGAACCUGGCUAAAGCAGGUCAUGUGUGAAGCCAAGGGCAGCAUUUUUGGCCAAGUGUCCUACAGGAGAAAGGAGUGGGGACUUUGUGCAAGGAGCCCUGGGGGAGAAUCAGAAAUGUGUAGCAAAUGCAGUUCAUCUCUCUUGUGUUGUUUGUCAAGGGCUGCCCGUACCGUAGGACAUUCCUUGGACCCCUCUGCAAGGUUCUGCUUCCCGAGCAAUCCCAUGGUGCAUUCUAAUGAUCACAUCCAUAGUCUCUUCUGCUUUUGUUUAUUUUCUUGGACAAGUAUCCCCCCUGUAGGAAAGUUUGAUAGUAGUUUUCAAAUAGAUGGCAUCGGAUGGCGUUCCUACAUGUAUAUGUGGAGCCUUGCACUGGUACAGAGUUCUGCUCAGAGCUGGUGGAGUGGCCAUACCUGUUUGUUCUACCUGGAUGAGUAGUUUUUCCAGGAGACAUUUGUUUGGCUGGGUCUGUACUUUUCUCCUGACCACACCCUAUUGUUUUUCUCUUUGCAGGAACUGAUCCUGCACAGACCUUUGAAUUCCUUACAAGGAGUGAAAAGUAGGUCUGAAGAGUAGGUUAUUGAAUUGGAUGCACAUUCUAGCAUGAGGGUUGGCCUGGACAGGAGGGCUGUUGGAGAAUAAAGCAUAGGGCUUUGAGGAAGUCCAAAACAGGAACUGAUGGGUGCCACACAAUGGCAAAUAGCUCCGGGUUAGAGAGGGAUCCCAGGCAUUGAGAUGAUGGAUGCUUUUCUUAGUGGUGGGAAGUCUUGUCUGUGCAUGGAAACUCCUGAGAAUCUUGCCUCUGGGAAUCUCAGCUUCAUCAACUGUUGUGAGCUCUGUGGUAAACGCAUGACCAAUCUCACCGAGCAUCUAUUAUUUACAAAGAACUGUAUCGGGUACAGGAAGUACAAGAACGUGUAGGCACAGUACUGCCAGCCAGAAGUUCAUGAUGUGGUUAGAGAUGAUGUGCAAGGAUGACAAGUAGGGAGCAACAGGGCAUGUAAAACCACGGACAGCAGGGAAUGCUCUAUAAGGAAGGCCUGGGGCAGGUGGGUGAGGGAAGCCUUGACAAGGAAGACAGGACUGGAGCUGAGCCUUGAAGUGUGCCAGAACUUCAGUGUUUGGGAAUGGGAAAGGGAGAUUAUGCUGUGUAGGGAGGUGACAUGCUGAGAGCCCUGGUGAGGAGAUGGCCCGUGAGCUUGGGAGGAGAGAAAAGAAGAAUGUCAUGGGAGAUAAGCUGAAGAAUCCCACGGAUCUGGAGGUCACACAGAGUGUGGAGUUCGUGUUGAUCAGGGAAGGGAGACCAGGAGAGCAGUAUGUCAGGAAGGUGAAGGCAGAGAGAGUGGCAGUCACUGCAUGAGGACCUCAGAAAGUCCCAUCUUGAAGUGACCAAGGCUCAGGUCUGCAGGGGUCUGUGGACGGGGCGGUGAGUCUUCCUGAGCCACUCUGCAUAAACAGAGCCCUCCUUCAGCGUUCCUUGGCACAGCCUGGGCUCGCCAUCUGACUAAGCUAGGGCCACACAAGCUUCUGCUACGGAGUUUCCCCACAAGCACAGAGCCAAAGCGAAACAAAGGCAGAGUCAUUCUUUUAAAGUUCACUGCUUGACUCUUAUUUGCUCACCCUUGCAUUCCCAUUAGUGUUGCCCUGAUUGAUUGGGAUGAUUGCUCAUUUUUAUAGCUAACUCAGAAGGUCAUUUUGAGCUCUGAAAGCAUCUGCUCAACCUAACAAAUGGUUAAGGAAGAGCCACAGACCUGAAGGUGGGAGUGGGGUCUUCCCUGGUCAGGGAGGACUCACCUGCUGAUGAUAUCCCUGGGAGGAAAAGAGUGUGGAACCCUCUUUCCUGACCCGCCCCCCAUUGUCUAAUACCUCAAUGUGUGCCCUGCAGAAAAACAGCUUGGGCAUCAUCUGGAAGUUAGUUAAAAAUACAGAAUCUGAGGCUCCAGCCCAGACCUACUGGAUCAGGAUCUACGUGUUUUGCAAGAUCCCAAGGG